rnacentral:snRNA from 1 species
GUGCUUGCUUCAGCAGCAUAUAUACUAAAAUUGGAAUGAUACAGAGAUUAGCAAGGCCCUUGUACAAGAAUGACAUGUAAAUUCAUGAAACGUUCCAUAUUUUA